UUCGGAUUGCAGUCUGCAACUCGAGUGCAUGAAGCUGGAAUCGCUAGUAAUCGCGGAUCAGAAUGCCGCGGUGAAUACGUUCCCGGGUCUUGUACACACCGCCCGUCACACCAUGGGAGUCGGGAAUGCCCGAAGCCGGUGGCCCAAUCGAAAGAAGGGAGCCGUCGAAGGCAGGCCGGAUGACUGGGGUGAAGUCGUAACAAGGUACC
rnacentral:rRNA from 1 species